CAGAAAACCACCGAUGAACUCACAUCUCCUUUCGAUUGCUGUUCUCAGGAUCCCACAGCCAGCCAGCAGCAGAGCACCGGGAAUGGCGUCUCAGGGAAAAGUGGGUGCAUGUACCCCAGAUGAGAGUGCAUGAGGCACUCAGAAUGCUCUGUGGGGUACACUGUGGCAAAACAAAUGACAUGAAAGUAAUCAAAGAAAGGACUGUGUGACUCAUGGGGUGGAUAAUGAGGACACGUUUUGAUGACAGAAACCAAGAGAGAAUAACCCACCACUUCCC
rnacentral:lncRNA from 1 species